rnacentral:rRNA from 1 species
UCUCUGGGUGACGAGCGGCGGACGGGUGAGUAAUGUCUGGGAAACUGCCUGAUGGAGGGGGAUAACUACUGGAAACGGUAGCUAAUACCGCAUGACCUCGCAAGAGCAAAGUGGGGGACCUUCGGGCCUCACGCCAUCGGAUGUGCCCAGAUGGGAUUAGCUAGUAGGUGGGGUAAUGGCUCACCUAGGCGACGAUCCCUAGCUGGUCUGAGAGGAUGACCAGCCACACUGGAACUGAGACACGGUCCAGACUCCUACGGGAGGCAGCAGUGGGGAAUAUUGCACAAUGGGCGCAAGCCUGAUGCAGCCAUGCCGCGUGUGUGAAGAAGGCCUUAGGGUUGUAAAGCACUUUCAGCGAGGAGGAAGGGUUCAGUGUUAAUAGCACUGUGCAUUGACGUUACUCGCAGAAGAAGCACCGGCUAACUCCGUGCCAGCAGCCGCGGUAAUACGGAGGGUGCAAGCGUUAAUCGGAAUUACUGGGCGUAAAGCGCACGCAGGCGGUUUGUUAAGUCAGAUGUGAAAUCCCCGAGCUUAACUUGGGAACUGCAUUUGAAACUGGCAAGCUAGAGUCUUGUAGAGGGGGGUAGAAUUCCAGGUGUAGCGGUGAAAUGCGUAGAGAUCUGGAGGAAUACCGGUGGCGAAGGCGGCCCCCUGGACAAAGACUGACGCUCAGGUGCGA